UCUUAUUUCUCGAAAUAGAUCAGGCCACCUUGGCAAGGCUGGCCUUUCUGGCCCAUCUGAAGGUAAGUAAGGCCCCUUCGACACUGCCAUAUAAAAUCCAGAUUAUCUGCUGUGAACUGGAUUAUAUGGCAGUGUAGACUCAAAUAAUCCAGGUACUGGACUAUCUAGAUUAUAUAUGGCAGUGUAGAAGAGGCCUAAAUUGACCCACAGGCUUCAUUUGAAGGAAAGAGAGUCACAUUCAGACAACUUUUUGGGGACAGGAAGCACUGCAAGCUUUGUUUAUCAGUGCCACACAGGAGGCCGAUGAACUAUCAUUCGAUGAUGUCUUUACAUGUGUUUGGAUCUUUGAAUUUUGUCAGUGUUCAUUUGUGUCCUGGUCACAAGUCUUAAUAUUUUUAUAGCUGAGACACUUUAUGACAGGAAAUCUUUUCAGAAACAUUGAUGACAGACUGUGAUGCAUUCAUUCUGUGUGUGCGUGCGCGUAUGUAGGAGAUAUAUACUGUAUACUUUAUACAGUAUAUUUUAUAUUAGUGUGUGUGUGUGUGUGUAUAUAUACUAGCUCUGCCCGGCCACGCGUUGCUGUGGCAAAGUGGUGGUGGUAUUGGUUAAAAAUCAUUGUGGAAUUUUUAUUUGAUGUUAUUUGUAUUUUUAAUUAAUUUUAUUGUAACUUAUCUUUUUUAUUUAUUAUAUUUUAUUAUUUUGUUGUAUUAUUUUCAGUUAUUUUGUUAUUAUAAUAUUUUAUUGUAUUAAUUAUUUUAGUGUUUUUUAUUAUUUUUAUUGUAUUAUUUGUAUUUAUUUUAUUUUUUAUUCUUUUAUUAACACAGGGCUGAGUGGGUUGCUAGGAGAUCAAGUGGGCGGAGCUUAGCCUUCUAACUGGCAGCAAUUAGAUAAUAACAAUUAUUUCUCUCCCUCCAAUUAGGACUUUAUUUUUCUUUUCUUUUUGUUGUCGGAACCUAGGGGCAAGGAUGGUGGGUUGUGUUGCCAAAUUUCUAGGUUCUGGGGCUUGUACUUUUGUUGUUUAGUGGGAGGAACAGACACCAUUACUCCUUUAUAUAUAUAGACUAGCUGUGCCCGGCCACGCGUUGCUGUGGCGUUGUGUGGUGGUGUUGGUGAGAAAUUGUUGAGGUAGUGGUGGUAUUGAAUGUCUGUUGUAUGGCUGUCUUUAUGUUUAGUAUGCACACUGAAGUGGAUUAUAUGGCAGUGUGGAGUCGGUUCAAAGCAGAUAAUAUAAGAUUCUAAAUGGGUUAUAUAGAUGUGGAAGGGCCUUGAGUCUACACUACCAUAUAAUCCAGUGCAAAUUAGAUAAUCUGUGGAAGAGACCUAAGUGAGGCCUAAAUCCGCCUGUCCCCUGGGCUGAGUAGGUUGCUAGGAGACCAAGUGGGCGGAGCUUAGCCUUCCAACUGGCAGCAAUUGGAUAAAAACGAUUAUUCCUCUCCCUGUAAUUAGGACUUUAUUUUUUUAUUUUUUUUGUUGUUGUAUCAACCUAGAGCCGUGAAUGAUGGGUUGUGUUGUCAAAUUUCGAGGUUGGGGGGCCUGUAGUUUUGUUGUUUUGUCCGCUGCCCUGAUGCCAUCACUCUUUUAUAUAUAUAGAUAUAUAUAUAAUUAUAUCCUUGUAUUGUACACCUAUUAAGAAUUAAUUUCAUUGAUUUCCAGAGAAUUCUUUGCAUGUCAAUAUGCUUAGAAAUAUACUACCCUGUAAAAUAACAGGUUGUAUCUGGUUCUAAACUAGUAAUCCUUUAUAGGCUUUCCUCCCAAAUGCACAGUAUUAUUGGUGAAUGCUGGAUACUUGUCAAAGGAAUUGACAGACUUCCUUUCAGUCCUAUACAUUUGGCAGUACUGUUACUUUCUUUGAUAGCUAGCAGCACUGUAUUUUCAGUAUUCUGGGGGAAGUAGAUGACUUCCCAGUAGAACUGCAGAAUUCCUAGUUUUAGGCCAUGCUAGGCAUCUUAGUUAUCUUUUCAUAGUACUUAGUCAGCAUUUGGUCAAACAAUAAACAUUUAGGGGAGGACUAGCUUCCGGAAGCUUGCAAAAAAAAAGUUUGUUCUAACUCAUGAGAGCUCACAUUUUAUUGGAUCUUCCAACUUAUCCCUUUUCUUUAAAAAACCAGGAAAUUAGCCAAAGGCAAUUGUAUCACAUGAGCCUUUACAAAAUCAAAUGUUUUUACCACUAAGCUUCUCUGGCUCUUAGCUUGAGCCAAACAGAAGUCAGAACUCGAUUUGUACUAAUCUGUGGCUGCUUUAUGCAAUCCAAACACUCUCAUUUUUCAGUCAGGAGAAGUAAAAAAUGGUCUGCAAAAUCAAAUGUUGGUGAGUAUUAAUUCUUGGAUGGUAGGAGCAAUCCACCAGCCACUGAAUGCUUUAUGUUAUACUGACACUGGAAACAGACUGAACUGCAGUCCUAUCGGUCAUUCCUAGAAGUGAGUGAAAGUUUUCUGUGUGUAUGAAGUCACGUGUUCUUGCUGGAUCUAGCUGAGCAGAGCAUAUCCCUUUAUGGGAUCAUAUUCCAAUAUCAUAUUCACAGUCAUAGAGUUUAGAUAAUCAUUAGGAUGUACAACAGAAUUGAGAAAUAUUGAACAGUUGGGGACCACACACUUAUGAAACACCCCACGUUCUUUUUAGGAAAAGUGUAAUAUAGUGAUCAUAGCUUAUUAUCAUCAACAUACCACUGUACCUCUUUCACUCAUUCACACACUCCUACGAAAUGUUGCCUCUUUUCCUUCAUCCUUUUCCACGUGGGUUUUUUUUUUAAUCUUUCCGCCUUUUAUUUUAAACUUAUUUAAAAUAUAUAUACAGUAGAGUCUCACUUAUCCAAGCUAAAUGGGCUGGCAGAAGCUUGGAUAAGCAAAUAACUUGGAUAAUAAGGAGGGAUUAAGGAAAAGCCUAUUAAAUAUCAAAUUAGGUUGUGAUAUUACAAAUUAAGCACCAAAACUUCAUGUUAUACAACGAAUUUGACAGAAAAAGUAGUUCAAUACGCAGUAAUGUUAUGUUGUAAUUACUGUAUUUACGAAUUUAGCACCAAAAUAUCAUGAUACAUUGAAAACAUUGACUACAAAAAUGGCUUGGAUUAUCCAGAGGCUUGGAUAAGCGAGGCUUGGAUAAGUGAGACUCUACUGUAUAUAUAUAUAUCCUGCUUUUCUGGAUCCCACCAAGAUACUAAACAACAGUAACAGCAAAAUCAGUGUUAAAACACAAGAAAGAUGUUAAAACUAGUAAAACAAUGUAAACAUGUGUCUUGACUGACAUUCCUUACUGUAAGGAAAGUGGGUAUGAGGCAUAAAUCCAGAAAGGGAUUUUAGAGUGUGCAGGCCAGCCUCUGUAAAACUGAUGCAGCAGCAAGAGGGUUUCUCCUGUUGAACAUCACAACCAGUCAGGUACCUUUUAAAUGAGGUGGGCAUUAAGAUCACCAGGCCGAAGACCAUUUAAAGUAUAAAGGCUAAAACCAAUGGCAGAGAAUAAUUAGCAACCAGUAGAGGUGCUGGAGCAAAAUUACUGGGGUAUCUUGUACUUUACUGCUUUAUUUGAGAUAAUAUACAGAAAGGACAGGAGAAAAAUAUAAAUAUUUUAUGAAGUGUGGUUUUGUUUUUAAAUGCUUCUUUUAUACAAAUGCAGGAGCCCAGAUGCAACUAAAAUUGGAAAGUAGAAAACAGGUUAAAAUGCUCGAGACAAGAAAUACUUAGUAUAUUUUUUCCAAAUUUCGGAAUAUUUGCCCAUACAUAAUGAAGUAUCUUGCAGAUAGGACCCAAGUCUAAACAUGGGAUUCAUUUAUGUUUCAUAUACAACUUACACACAUAUUAAUAACUAGAAGGUAGUUUUAUCUCAAGUUUGUGUAUGAAUCAGAAAGCAAAGGUGUCAUUAUCUCAUUCACCAAUGUACACGAUUUUGGAGCAUUUGGGAUUUUAGUUUUUUGGAUAAGAAAUAACUGUAAACUGUGAGAUGACUAUCACCAUGUUAUCCUUCUGGUCCGCCUGUCAGAGAUGGAACUUGGAAGCAAUUAUAAUGUAAUGGCUUUGUUUCUUCCUAGAAGAAAUUCCUGUUUAAGCUCCUGGCCAGGUACAAAUAAUGACGACAACAACAACAUUGGGCAGCAUUGUUUAUUUGAAGCUCAAUGUCUGCUGUAUUUACACAUCAUGAGAAGUUGAACAGUGAAGAAAGAUGAUAGGAAGAGCAUCACCUCAUUUGAACUAUAGUGUUGGAAUAAAGUUCUGGAUCAAGCCUGAACUCUCAUUUGAAGCCAAGAUAAUCAAACUGUGAUACUCUUGAGGUAUUAAGAGAAGAUGUGAUUAACUAGGAAAAGAGAGACUGCAUUACAGGGGAUACUCAAGAAGACCUGAGUAAGACUUGAUGACAGGUUGUUCAAUGGACAUGUGCGUACACUGAGAAGCUUGAAGACAACUUAACUGCAGUUAGCAACAACCAGUAUUACAUGAGGCAAUGAUAUGGAAAAUACAGGGUGACAGUAUCGGAACUGGGAGGGGGAUGCGGCUGUUUGGUAUGUUUUGAACAGUAUGUAUUGUGCAUAAAACAACUCGUUCUCUCAUUACUGGCUACCUUUAAGGAAACGUGUUUCUAGAAAGCAAAUGAAAGAUCAAAUGUUAACUCUAGACAGACUUAUAAGAGUUGUAUCAAAAGAAAAAUAACUCAUUAGAUUUGAGAAGCCUGGCUUCCCUUCUUGCAAUGUAACAGAUACUAAAUUUCCAGCCCCUUCUCUUUACCACUUGAAAAUGCAAAUGUAAUAUUGCAGUGCUAAAGUUUGGAAUUGUCAGCCAUUGUCCCCCUCCUAGACACUGGAAACUUGAUGUCAAGGCAUACAUUUACAAAUCACAAAGAUUUUUGCAAAUUCGAAAAUAGUUGAAGUAAUGGGGACAUCCUAUUAAAAAUUAACUCAGCAGAUAUAUCAAGUUGUCUAUAGAUAUAUCAGCUCAUUUCUUGUCAUCCUUCAAGUUGCUGCUGCAAAAGUAUCUGAAAUAGCAUUUGUAGCACAAGGGACAAUUGUAGGAAGGGUGACAUUAAUGUGUAGAAGCAUAAAACAUAACACUUUGGAUUCCAGCCUUGUAGAAAACAAUAAAUAACUACUUGUAUGUCCGAUGCUCUACGUUUUACCACUAGUUCUAUGGAUCAAAUUCUUAAAACAUUGGGUUUUAGCAAAAGCAAUUUCUCCAGUCCCUGCAACAUAAAUGGGUAACUAGCCCUUCAGAUGCUGUACUACAAUCCCUAAUCAGUAUACCCCCUUCUCUGAGAAAACGGUUCCAUGUCUUAAUUUCUGUCUAUCAUAUUAAAUAAAAAUACGUACCUUAUUGAUAAAGCCAUUUAAGGAUAUUGGGUCAGAAUUAUGCUAUUGUUGAAGUUUCAAGACUCUUAUCUUCACUUUAUACAAGAUAUAUAUGUUUAAUUUAAAAAGCACUUCAGGUUACGAACAGAAAUUUUCCAUAAUUUCAAAGUUUGAUGUGUGUCCAUUAAAACUGUAAAGUCUAAAUUUCGUAUUUGACAGAAAGUACUAUUUUGGUUCAAAGGGAAUACUUAAGCUGCUUUAAAAACCUCAUUAAUCUCACUUAUUGUUCAAGAAUUUCUUUAUUAGAAAAUAUGACAUUACGAUGGCUUAAUUGUAUAGAAUUUCGCAUGUACAAGUUGUUUUCACUUACGUUAAAAGUCUGCUAUCUUAGUUCUGGGAAAUUUCAUGAAUUGAAUGUAUUGAAUCACAUCGCAUAGAAAGUCUUGCAUAUUAAAACUGUUUUAAUUUUA